rnacentral:lncRNA from 1 species
UUGGCUUCGGCAGUUACUCUUCCUCAUGUUUUGAGCAACCUCUCUCUUUUCCCGUUUCCUUAUCUCCGGCGAUCUCUGCGUUCGCCCUCCUCCUGGUACGUCUCUUGCUUCCCUCUCUUUGUUUCUGCUUUUGCUUUUCAUCUGUUGCUCUGUAUUCUUCUUUGCACUUGCUCCUCUCGGCUGUGUACGUAUACUAGAGAAGAGAACCCCUGCAGUUGUGUGGUUUGUUUUUAAAUUUCCCAAGUAUUGUCGUGUUCUAUAUAAGGUUUCCCCAACCCUAUCUAUUUUCGUGUUUUCUCCAACCCUAUCUCUUUUGGCUUCGGUCUCAAGGAUGGGCUCCCUUAAUUAUCCUGAAGAGAUUCAUUCUUCCGGCUCUGAUCCUGCUAGUUCCGAUGACGAUUCCCUGAUUGCUAGGUUAGUUUCGUCUGCCGCUGGUCCUUCGUCUUCCUCUCUUUACUACGAUGGUGGAGACUCCUUUUACGAUGGAGUCUGAACGUCACGUCAUACGUCAAGGAGAGUUGGACGAGUUGAGAGAGAGAGAGAUUCUGUUGCGGAAUCCGUUCGAUGUAGGCUUCCCAGUUCCGAUUAGAGGGUGUGUAGUUUUCCCCCUGGCGAGGUGUGUCUGUAUGAGCAUGCGUUUAUUGGUGGUUUGAGGCUUCCCUUCCCCCUUGUCGUUUGUGAACUCCUGAAUUUCCUGUUGUCCCCUCGUCAGUUAGUGCUAAAUGUCUGGCGGAUUUUGUAUGCCAUGAUGAUCCUGCGAGAGGAAGUCGGUAAAGGGGCUUACCACUUGUCCGUGGAAGACUUUCUAUACUGCUAUCAACCCAAGGAGAAAGAAUCGGGUUGGCAUUACUUUUAGGCCAGGGAAGGCAGAUCUGAUCUUUGGGUACCCCUCUUUGAAUAAGUUUUGGAGGGGUCAUUUUUUCUUUGUCUUCGGGGAUGGAUGGGAAUUCCAACCUUGGGAAGAGCCUGAACCAUCCACUCCACAUUUCCACUUUUCAGCCCGCGACAGAUAUCGUCCAUAUUGAGGAUUAUGUCGAGGAUUCUACAGCCGCCGUUGUACCCAACAAGGCUUCCCCAACCUCGUCUGAGCCUAACAAAGGUGUCGCUUAGCCUUCCAGUUCUCGUCCCUCUCGAAUGGUUGAUUUUGUGGUGCCCGAUCCCCGUAAAGCCGUUCAGUCUCUCAUGCCACCACAUCCUCCAAGGAUGUUGACCCAACUGGCUCAUCUAAGGGGGUAGUGGUUUUUGUUCCCAUCGAGCAUCCUCUUGGAGCUAAUUUUGAGGAUGCCAAACUGGCCAGCAGUUAGGCCACGUUGUUUGUGGGCAUGAACGCCAAGGUUCUGAGUUCUACUGCAUUGGACGCGUUGGUGAGGAAGUCUUACCUCGAUCUAGCACGGGUAAGGGGCUCUUCUAUUGUUCUUGUGUUUUUCGCUUUCUUUCUUCUUUUCUGAGUUCCUUGUUGCUUUUCAGAUUGGCGGCGAUCUGUCCAACAUGGGUUCCUGACUGCUAGAGGGGGAAUCACAAUUGCGCUUCCCGAUGCAUAGGAAUAAGUUGAUCUCGUCCAGGUUGCAGUUAGAGAAGACGUAGGUCGAUUCUGGGAAAUCUUUCAGGAAGCUCAGGCGGAAAUUAUCUCAUUGAAGGUUCAUGCGAAGAAGGCCGAGG